GACAGAGGGUGCAAACGUUGCUCGGAAUCACUGGGCGUAAAGGGCGUGUAGGCGGGAGGGAAAGUCAGAUGUGAAAUCCCCAGGCUCAACCUGGGAACUGCAUUUGAAACUCCCCUUCUUGAGUAUCGGAGAGGAAAGCGGAAUUCCUGGUGUAGAGGUGAAAUUCGUAGAUAUUCGCAAGAACACCAGUGGCGAAGGCGGCUCACUGGCCCGGUACUGACGCUGAGGUGCGAAAGCGUGGGGAGCAAACAGG
rnacentral:rRNA from 1 species